rnacentral:rRNA from 1 species
CAGUAGCCGCGGUAAUACGGAGGGGGCUAGCGUUGUUCGGAAUUACUGGGCGUAAAGCGCACGUAGGCGGCUUGGUAAGUUAGAGGUGAAAGCCUGGAGCUCAACUCCAGAAUUGCCUUUAAGACUGCCGAGCUAGCAGGUGAGAGAGGUAAGUGGAAUUCCGAGUGUAGAGGUGAAAUUCGUAGAUAUUCGGAAGAACACCAGUGGCGAAGGCGGCUUACUGGCUCAUACUGGACGCUGAGGUGCGAAAGCGUGGGGAGCAAACAGGAUUAGAGACCCCGGUAGUCCCUGUCUCUUAUAC